GUGGGGAAUUUUGGACAAUGGGCGCAAGCCUGAUCCAGCAAUGCCGCGUGAGUGAAGAAGGCCUUCGGGUUGUAAAGCUCUUUUGUCAGGGAAGAAACGGUUGGGGCUAAUAUCCUCGGCUAAUGACGGUACCUGAAGAAUAAGCACCGGCUAACUACGUGCCAGCAGCCGCGGUAAUACGUAGGGUGCAAGCGUUAAUCGGAAUUACUGGGCGUAAAGCGUGCGCAGGCGGUUUUGUAAGUCUGACGUGAAAGCCCCGGGCUCAACCUGGGAAUUGCGUUGGAGACUGCAAGGCUUGAAUCUGGCAGAGGGGGGUAGAAUUCCACGUGUAGCAGUGAAAUGCGUAGAGAUGUGGAGGAACACCGAUGGCGAAGGCAGCCCCCUGGGUCAAGAUUGACGCUCAUGCACGAAAGCGUGGGGAGCAAACAGGAUUAGAUACCCUGGUAGUCC
rnacentral:rRNA from 1 species